ACUUGGGUAGUUUAAUAAAAACGUUGAUUUGUGGUGUCAGUAAUGUAUUUUUUACCUCAGGUU
rnacentral:tRNA from 1 species